rnacentral:rRNA from 1 species
UACGAGGGGGGCGAGCGUUGUUCGGAUUCACUGGGCGUAAAGGGUGCGUAGGCGGUCGGGUAAGUCUGAUGUGAAAUCUCACAGCUUAACUGUGAAACUGCAUUGGAUACUAUCCGGCUAGAGGAAUGGAGGGGAGACUGGAAUACUUGGUGUAGCAGUGAAAUGCGUAGAUAUCAAGUGGAACACCAGUGGCGAAGGCGAGUCUCUGGACAUUUCCUGACGCUGAGGCACGAAAGCCAGGGGAGCAAACGGG